rnacentral:rRNA from 1 species
UACCAGCACCCCGAGUGGUCGGGACGAUUAUUGGGCCUAAAGCAUCCGUAGCCGGUUCUACAAGUCUUCCGUUAAAUCCACCUGCUUAACAGAUGGGCUGCGGAGGAUACUAUAGAGCUAGGAGGCGGGAGAGGCAAGCGGUACUUAGUGGGUAGGGGUAAAAUCCGUUGAUCCAUUGAAGACCACCAGUGGCGAAGGCGGACUUGCCAGAACGCACUCGACGGUGAGGGAUGAAAGCUGGGGGAGCAAACCGGG